rnacentral:misc_RNA from 1 species
GCACCAGCACAUGAGCAAAACCCUAAGUUUGCUCCAAAUCCUAACUCCAAAAUUCCAAUUUACUCAAACAUCAUGCUAUCAAAUAUUCUAAUCAUCAAUUUCAUGUUCAAUUGCAUCAAUUCACAACUAUAAUUCACUUGAAUCAUUGAAACUCUAAAGUACCCUAGGCUGCCAAAAUUGAGGGUUUUCAUACCUACAUAAUUUGUUUUCUUUCUUCCAAAACUAACACUCAAUUCAUAAUCUACACAAGGUAAACUCAUGGAUUCAUGGAAGAAGUAUCACUAACCUUGACUUAGCCAAUUCCCAAGGCUUGAAAACUCCACUUUUUCUCUUCCUUUUUGCUAUCCAAGUCUUGCUCUAGGUGUGAGGAGAAGUUUUUGUGAAGGGAAGCUAGGGUUUUGAGGUGGUUUAGUGGAUGAACUCAAGCUUGUUACCAAGCAUCAAUGGAGGUUUUUCUCUUCUUUCUCUUUCUCUCUUCUCUUAGUUCGGCUGGUUGAAGACAAAGUGCAAAUUUCUUUUCAUUUUUUUCCCAUUUUAUCUCUUUUUAAUUGGCUUGUUGAGUUGUGAUUGGUGGAGCUUUUUAAAUGACAUCAUACUAUGUCAUAAUUCUCUUUUUAAUUCAUUUUCUUUUUUUUCCUACUCAAUUUCAAUUUAAUUUUUAGUAAUAUUUAUUCAUAUUUUAUGUCA